rnacentral:lncRNA from 1 species
UCCAACUGCUAACUGCCCUAAAGUGUGCAAUAGAUAAAUGGUGGAGGAAACGUGGGAGGGGGAGGAAUUGAAAGGAAGUUUCAGAAAGGUAGGUUGAAGCAGGGAGGAAGGAUGUAAAGAAAUAAAUGGUACGAGGAGCUAAGGCUUCAGUUCUAAAAAUUCUGAAGACCGCAGCAUGUCACAACAGCCCGUGGCCAGGUGGAUCCCUGCCGGGGAAAUCCUAGAAAGAGUCACCAAGAGACCCGCCCAGGGAGGGUCAGCUUUACCCUCUAUAACUUCCUCCUAGAAACCCCCCAACUUGAUGAUCUAGCUAGAAGCUUCUAGUUAGAGCUCCAGUCUCAUAAAAGCCUCCAUGGCCCGCAAUCAAUAUUCUAAAAGUAAUAUGCACACAAAUGCGGCACGUAGAAGCCCACCACAGUGGGAUCUUCUCUGCCCAGAAUCAAUCGUGAAAGUGUAUGUCAAAUUACAAUAGCACUAAGCUCCACAUAAUGAGGCCAUCUUGCUAAGUGAGCACCUGAUUGAAGAAGUGGCUCAGCGGUGGGGGCUGCGGCACACCAGCUCCUCAGGCUGCAAGAGCCAACUGCUGGCUUCCAGGUGAGCAGCCGUCUGUGGAGGGAUGAGGGGCAGAGCGCCCACCUGGAGGUGGUGGGGGAGAAGUCAGGCUCCCAAGUGGGAAGGACCCCCUUACUCCAGUCCUCUUCCUUCUUCAACCUCUCGCCACCCCAAGAAAAAUGGAAAUUAAGACUUGGAGGAUAAGCAAGCAUAAUCUAAAGAGAGAGCAGGGAGACAGGGCAGGGUGCAGCUGUGGAGGGACACAUGGAAAGUACAGGCAGGAGUUAGGAAGGGGUGAGGACGGGUUCCAAGGGAGGGAGCUGUUCUGAGACCCCAGCCUGCCCACAAACUGACUUUGGCUAGAGGCCCAGCACAGACCUAGGAGGUCAGAACCUGCCCGACAUCCUCUUUCACAGGAAGGAGACAGGUCCAGAGGGACAGAUGGGCAUUAGCCAUGAAAGGGCUGGGGUCUCUGUCCAUCUGGUGGGAUUGUCUCCAUCACCCUAGAGCACUUCAGACCCCAGGACAUUUCUCCACCCUGCUUGUUACUUUCCAAAAUGUUGUUGUGACAUUUUUUCCCAAUGCAACUUUGGGGUCACUUUUGGUUCCCUCCAUCAUUUCCCUUCUUUAAUAUUCCUAAGAGGAGUAAUUCUUACCUUAGUAGCAGUGGGGCAGGCAUUCUGGAGGAAAUAAGUGUCCUCAGAUGUGGAGGUAACUCGUAGCAAUUGCAGACACCCAGCAAGGUGUGCUAGAUCCAAGGCAGACACCCACCUUGCAGCACUCCCAGCCCCAUGUGUCCAGCACCAAGGGAGGCACACACAAGGUGAAGGUCAACAGUAGGAGCAGAUCAGGCCAUUCUUGAGAGCCAGAGGACACCACCCUCAAUCUCCAAGGAAAGGUAGGACUUGGAAAAAUGAAAAAAGGGAAGAGGAAGAGAAUUUGCAAAUACAUAGACGCCAAGUCAUGGAGCUCUGAAUCACUGGAAAAGAAUUUAGCAUUUGGGGAAGUAGCAAGAAUUGAGGCAGUGAUCAAGAGCUGCCACCUCCAAGCCAUCAUAUAUGGACAAAUCAGGAGCAGACCUGGCCUGACAAGGAGACACAAGUGACGUGCAUUUAACCCAGUUCUCCCCACCCAUUCCACAGAGACCCUAUCCCAAUGGGGGGGCCCUCUGUGUCAGAAGCAGCGGCAGGGAGCCACCUCCAGUUGAGGAGCCAUCAGGAAAGGUGGUUCUCAAGGGAAAACAGUUCUGUGCCCACAGUUAGCUCUAGAGAAAAAGAACCAAGGAAGCCCACUUCAGAGAUGGCCCUAGAGGGGUGGGGACAGCAGUGAGAAUCCCCAGACUGUGAAACACACAAAUCAAUGUCUCUCCCUUGCUCUCCAAGAAGGUGGAUUCUGCUCAUCCUUCAAAUCCUGAUUCACAUCCUCUCUCCUCUGUGAUGCCCUAAACCACCCUAGAACCAGGCAUCCCCUCAGAUCUCUGGGGUUCCUACUCCUUGGGCCUGGGGUCUUCUGAUUUCCUUACAAUGUGCCUCAGCCAUUUAUCAAGUCAUCCACCCUUGGUUAUACCUCUCAGUCUCUACCAGAAGGGCAGGGCAGGCUCACAGUUACUUUUUUGUAAUAUGCAGGGGUAUACAUAUAAUAUACAUAAAAUAUUGUAUUAUAUAUAUAUAUUCCAUUAAAAUUGUAUACAUUCUAAU